rnacentral:rRNA from 1 species
GUGGGGAAUAUUGCACAAUGGGCGAAAGCCUGAUGCAGCAACGCCGCGUGAGGGACGACGGCCUUCGGGUUGUAAACCUCUUUUAGUAGGGAAGAAGCGAAAGUGACGGUACCUGCAGAAAAAGCACCGGCUAACUACGUGCCAGCAGCCGCGGUAAUACGUAGGGUGCAAGCGUUAUCCGGAAUUAUUGGGCGUAAAGAGCUCGUAGGCGGUCUGUCGCGUCUGCUGUGAAAACUGGAGGCUCAACCUCCAGCCUGCAGUGGGUACGGGCAGACUAGAGUGCGGUAGGGGAGAUUGGAAUUCCUGGUGUAGCGGUGGAAUGCGCAGAUAUCAGGAGGAACACCGAUGGCGAAGGCAGAUCUCUGGGCCGUAACUGACGCUGAGGAGCGAAAGCGUGGGGAGCGAACAGGAUUAGAAACCCGAGUAGUCCU